UUAAAAGGCUAACAGUGUACAUACAGUAAAACUCGAAUGAUACAGAGAUUAGCAUAGCCCUGUGCAAUGCUGACAUGCGAAUUCACGAAGCGUUCAGUAUUUUC
rnacentral:snRNA from 1 species